GCGGCCGUAGUCUAGUCUGGUUAGGACAGAGGCCCCCCAAGCCUCUGACCCGGGUUCAAAUCCCGGCGGCCGCACCA
rnacentral:tRNA from 1 species